rnacentral:rRNA from 1 species
CGGCGCACGGGUGAGUAACGCGUGGAUGAUCUACCCAUGAGUUGGGAAGUAACGGACUGGAAACGGUCGCUAAUACCGAAUACGCUCCGAUUUCAACUUCGGGGGAAAGGUGGCCUCUGCUUGCAAGCUACUGCUCAUGGAUGAGUCCGCGUCCCAUUAGCUAGUUGGUCGGGGUAACGGCCCACCAAGGCGACGAUGGGUAGCCGGUCUGAGAGGAUGACCGGCCACACUGGGACUGGAACACGGCCCAGACUCCUACGGGAGGCAGCAGUGGGGAAUAUUGCGCAAUGGGCGAAAGCCUGACGCAGCGACGCCGCGUGAGGGGAAUGAAGGUCCUCGGAUCGUAAACCUCUGUCAGGAGGGAAGAACCGCCACGGUGCUAAUCAGCCGUGGUCUGACGGUACCUCCAAAGGAAGCACCGGCUAACUCCGUGCCAGCCGCCGC